rnacentral:rRNA from 1 species
GCAUAUCAAUAAGCGGAGGAAAAGAAACCAACAGGGAUUGCCCUAGUAACGGCGAGUGAAGCGGCAACAGCUCAAAUUUGAAAUCUGGCCCUCGGGUCCGAGUUGUAAUUUGUAGAGGAUGCUUUUGGUGCGGUGCCUUCCGAGUUCCCUGGAACGGGACGCCAUAGAGGGUGAGAGCCCCGUCUGGUUGGACACCAAGCCUCUGUAAAGCUCCUUCGACGAGUCGAGUAGUUUGGGAAUGCUGCUCUAAAUGGGAGGUAUAUGUCUUCUAAAGCUAAAUACCGGCCAGAGACCGAUAGCGCACAAGUAGAGUGAUCGAAAGAUGAAAAGCACUUUGAAAAGAGGGUUAAACAGUACGUGAAAUUGUUGAAAGGGAAGCGCUUGCGACCAGACUUGGGCCCGGUUAAUCAUCCAGCGUUCUCGCUGGUGCACUUGGCCGGCCCAGGCCAGCAUCAGUUUGGCGCGGGGGAUAAAGGCUUCGGGAAUGUGGCUCCCCCGGGAGUGUUAUAGCCCGUUGUGCAAUACCCUGCGCUGGACUGAGGUUCGCGCAUGCUGCAAGGAUGCUGGCGUAAUGGUCAUUAGCGACCCGUCUUGAAACACGGACC